UACGUAGGGGGCAAGCGUUGUCCGGAUUUAUUGGGCGUAAAGAGCGUGUAGGCGGCCAUGGAGGUCCGUUGUGAAAACUCGAGGCUCAACCUCGAGACGCCGAUGGAAACCCCCUGGCUAGAGUCCGGAAGAGGAGAGUGGAAUUCCUGGUGUAGCGGUGAAAUGCGCAGAUAUCAGGAAGAACACCAGUGGCUAAGGCGGCUCUCUAGUACGGUACUGACGCUGAGACGCGAAAGCGUGGGGAGCGAACAGG
rnacentral:rRNA from 1 species